UACGUAGGGUGCAAGCGUUGUCCGGAAUUAUUGGGCGUAAAGGGUGCGUAGGCGGUUUGAUAAGUCAUCUGUGAAAUCUCUGGGCUCAACCCAGAGUCUGCAGGCGAAACUGUCGGGCUUGAGUAUGGGAGAGGUGAGUGGAAUUUCCGGUGUAGCGGUGAAAUGCGUAGAUAUCGGGAAGGAACACCUGGUGGCGAAAGCGGCUCACUGGACCAUUCUGACGCUGAUGCACGAAAGCUAGGGGAGCAAACAGG
rnacentral:rRNA from 1 species